UACAGAGGUCUCGAGCGUUGUUCGGAUUCAUUGGGCGUAAAGGGUGCGUAGGUGGCGCUGUAAGUCGGGUGUGAAAUCCUGAGGCUUAACCUCGGAACUGCAUUCGAUACUGCGGCGCUUGAGGACUGGAGAGGAGACUGGAAUUCAUGGUGUAGCAGUGAAAUGCGCAGAUAUCAGGAGGAACACCCGUGGCGAGGGCGGCUCUCUGGGACGGUACUGACGCUGAGACGCGAAAGCGUGGGGAGCGAACAGG
rnacentral:rRNA from 1 species